UCCUCGAUGGUCUAGUUGGUUAGGACGUGGUUCUCAUAGUUCAAAUUCGUUACGGCGAAUCGCAAAUGCGUCAUUCCGAGGUCGCAAGUUCAAGUCUUGCUCGGGGAA
rfam:Sphaeroforma arctica JP610 cont1.5700, whole genome shotgun sequence.